UACGUAGGGUGCAAGCGUUAAUCGGAAUUACUGGGCGUAAAGCGUGCGCAGGCGGUUUUGUAAGUCUGUCGUGAAAUCCCCGGGCUCAACCUGGGAAUUGCGAUGGAGACUGCAAGGCUAGAAUCUGGCAGAGGGGGGGUAGAAUUCCACGUGUAGCAGUGAAAUGCGUAGAUAUGUGGAGGAACACCGAUGGCGAAGGCAGCCCCCCUGGGUCAAGACUGACGCUCAUGCACGAAAGGCGUGGGGAGCAAACGAGG
rnacentral:rRNA from 1 species